GCGGCAGGCCUAACACAUGCAAGUCGAGGGGCAUCGGGAUUGAAGCUUGCUUCAAUUGCCGGCGACCGGCGCACGGGUGCGUAACGCGUAUGUAACCUACCUAUAACAGGGGCAUAACACUGAGAAAUUGGUACUAAUUCCCCAUAAUAUUCGGAGAGGCAUCUCUCCGGGUUGAAAACUCCGGUGGUUAUAGAUGGACAUGCGUUGUAUUAGCUAGUUGGUGAGGUAACGGCUCACCAAGGCAACGAUACAUAGGGGGACUGAGAGGUUAACCCCCCACACUGGUACUGAGACACGGACCAGACUCCUACGGGAGGCAGCAGUGAGGAAUAUUGGUCAAUGGACGCAAGUCUGAACCAGCCAUGCCGCGUGCAGGAAGACGGCUCUAUGAGUUGUAAACUGCUUUUGUACGAGGGUAAACUCACCUACGUGUAGGUGACUGAAAGUAUCGUACGAAUAAGGAUCGGCUAACUCCGUGCCAGCAGCCGCGGUAAUACGGAGGAUUCAAGCGUUAUCCGGAUUUAUUGGGUUUAAAGGGUGCGUAGGCGGUUUGAUAAGUUAGAGGUGAAAUCCCGGGGCUUAACUCCGGAACUGCCUCUAAUACUGUUAGACUAGAGAGUAGUUGCGGUAGGCGGAAUGUAUGGUGUAGCGGUGAAAUGCUUAGAGAUCAUACAGAACACCGAUUGCGAAGGCAGCUUACCAAACUA
rnacentral:rRNA from 1 species